UCCGAGUUGGCCCCGGCAGUCUCCCAUGAGUCCCGGCCGAACCGCUGGCAACUAACGACAAGGGUUGCGCUCGUUGCGGGACUUAACCCAACAUCUCACGACACGAGCUGACGACAGCCAUGCAGCACCUGGACACCCGAUUCCCUUGCGGGCACCCCUCCAUCUCUGGAGGGUUCCGGGGGGUUCCAACCCAGGUAAGGUUCUUCGCGUUGCGUCGAAUUGAACCACAUGCUCCACCGCUUGUGCGGGCCCCCGUCAAUUCCUUUGAGUUUCACCGUUGCCGGCGUACUCCCCAGGUGGAUGACUUCGCGCGUUAGCUGCGUUACUAAGGGAUUUAACUCCCCCAACAACUAGUCAUCAUCGUUUAGGGCGUGGACUAC
rnacentral:misc_RNA from 1 species